AACAAGUAUUCAUGAUUAAAAAAUAUAAACAGUGCAGAUAUGUGAGGUAAAAAAGACAGACUCUCCUUUUCCCUUUUAAGUUUUCUAAAUACAAGUAUAUGUAUGAACAAAUUGCACACACACAGCGUUUACCUCAUACUAUACAUAUUGUCCUGUAGUUUGCUUUUUUCCACUCAGCAAUAUACAAUGGCACUGUUUCCAUAGGAGCACAUUUUGUAUUGUGAAAAAUAAGAAAACAUUAAAAAAUGCAAAAAACAUAAAUGUGAAGCUUAAUAAAAUACCCAUUUAAUCACCACACUGGUGAAGAAAUGGAACGUUAUUGGUGCCUGGGAAGUCCUCAGCUUCCUUUUUCCCUCGUCACAACUCCCUCCCUUCUCCCUGGUGGUAACCCCUGUCAUUACUUCUGCGCAUGUACUACCUAAUUGCACUUCCAAAACUAAUGUUUAAUUUAAUUUUGAACUUUAGAUAAAUGGAACCAUGCAGUAUACAUUCUGUGAUCAUUCUGUGAUGAAUGAGUUCUUUCAUUCAACCUUAUGUUUGUAAGAUUCACCCACUUUUUGCGUACAUUUUUAUUGUUGUACAGCCUUCCAUUGUAAGGACACCACCAAAAGUGUUAAUUCUACUGUAGCUUGGUAUAUUGAGUUAUUUCUAAUUUGUGGAUAUUCACAGUGCUGCUGUGACCACAUGUGUCCGUAAGUCCAGAUUCAUACAUAUAUUCACUCCUCAUGCAAGCACUCAUUUCUCUAGAGUGCUAUUGUAGGCUCUAAGGGUUACCGUAGACAUUGCAAAACUGUCUUUAAAGUGAUUGAACCAAUGUACCUUCCCAGCAGCAGUGUGUCAGGAUUCCUAUUACUUUACAUCUCUACCAGCAUUUGGUAUUGUUAGAUUUUUCUUUUUGCCCACUUAGUGAGUGUAUAACAGUAUCUCUUUGUGGUUUUAAUUUUGUGUUUUCCUAUUAACCAGUGAGGUUGAACACUUUUUCAUAUGUUUGGCCAUUUAGUUUCCUCUUUUGUGAAAUGCCUGUUCAGAUAUAGAGUUGUUUAUAUUUUUCUUAGAUUUGUAGGACUUCCAGAGACUAGCCCUUUGUCUAUUUAUGCAUAUUAUAAAUCUCUCCUCCCACCCUGCGGCAUGCCUUUUCACUCUCACAUAGGUCCUUUUUGAUAAAUAGAAAUUCUUAGUAUUAAUGUAACUGGACUUAAAUUUUUUCCAGUGCUUUCUGUGUCCUGCUAUAGGUUACUCUGAAGUCACGAAGGUUAUUCCUCUAUAUUAUUUCUCAGAAACUUCGUUCUUUAGCUUUCCAAAUUUAGGUCUUUGAUCUUCCUGACAUUGACUUUUGUGUAUAU